rnacentral:tRNA from 1 species
GGGACUGUAGUCUAAUCGGAAUCAAGGCACUCGUCUUCUAAACGAGAAUUUGCGAGUUCGAGUCUCGCCAGUCCCU